UACGGAGGGAGCUAGCGUUGUUCGGAAUUACUGGGCGUAAAGCGCACGUAGGCGGCUUUGUAAGUUAGAGGUGAAAGCCCGGGGCUCAACCCCGGAAUUGCCUUUAAGACUGCAUCGCUUGAAUCCGGGAGAGGUGAGUGGAAUUCCGAGUGUAGAGGUGAAAUUCGUAGAUAUUCGGAAGAACGCCAGUGGCGAAGGCGGCUCACUGGACCGGUAUUGACGCUGAGGUGCGAAAGCGUGGGGAGCAAACAGG
rnacentral:rRNA from 1 species